rnacentral:rRNA from 1 species
ACGGGAGGCAGCAGUGAGGAAUAUUGGACAAUGGGUGAGAGCCUGAUCCAGCCAUCCCGCGUGAAGGACGACGGCCCUAUGGGUUGUAAACUUCUUUUGUAUAGGGAUAAACCUUUCCACGUGUGGAAAGCUGAAGGUACUAUACGAAUAAACACCGGCUAACUCCGUGCCAGCAGCCGC